CGAAUCUGUGGAUACCUAAACAAUGUUCCGCUUCCAUUCCUCUCUGCAAUAGCUACAAGUACGCUCUUCUCUGCGAAUCUGUGGAUACCUAAACAAUGUUCCGCUUCCAUUCCUCUCUGCAACUCUAAUUUUAGGGCAAAUUAUCCAUCGUGUUCCAUAAUCAUGCCAUAAUUAUGGAUAACCACGAACGUUCGUUCGAGAUAAAACCGAACGUCAAUCCCAAUUCCCUGAUAUAGAGUUUUUUCUUCUUGGGUAAAUCAUCUUCGUAUUCGACCGCUGCCUGUUCUUCGUCAUUCAUAGAUAGAAUUGGAUGGAGUGAUAGAAUUCUAUUUGUACAAAAAAUAAACUCGAAUUUACAUAAUUUAUAUUUAAAAAGUUAUUAAGUCGCUGGAAUCCUAAUUUAAUACAAAUUCUACGGAUUAUGAGAUGUAUUUAAAUUUGGAUAGUACCAAACAAUUUCUGAACGAUCCAAUAUAUCCUGGCAAAGAUUUAACGUAUAUAUAGCUCUCUAAUUUCUUCCAAGAUCACAACGGGGGCAUCCAUAUGCUAAGAGAUUUCAAUAACGAGAAAUUCCACCUAGGCAGCAUGGGCGUUGAUGCAAAACCGGUCACAAAGACUCUCGAUGUUUAUAUUUGUCAGCCAGAUAGUAAGAAUGAGGAGACAGAUCGGAAAGCUAAAUUGGCACCUCAACAAAGUGAACAGCCCGUAAGAUGCAGGCCUUUGAUUGAAGCUAAUUGUAAUUACUUCAAAAUUUACUGAGAUAGUAUUUUACCAUGUAAUGGUUUCACAUGUCUAGGAUUAACGACAGCUACAACAAAGAUAACGGAACUGUCAUCUAUAGAUAAACAUGUUCCAUGAAAUAAUUUCUUUUUUUUUUCAUGUGGAUACAUCCCGGUAUUUAAUAUCUUCAUCAUGUAGCUAGCUAAGUUUCUGGAUAGUCUUAAUAGUGCCAAACAGAGAAUAUAGUUGUCAUUGGAAGUGAA